rnacentral:rRNA from 1 species
CAGUCGCCGCGGUAAUACGGAAGGUCCAGGCGUUAUCCGGAUUUAUUGGGUUUAAAGGGAGUGUAGGCGGUCUGUUAAGCGUGUUGUGAAAUUUAGGUGCUCAACAUCUAACUUGCAGCGCGAACUGGCGGACUUGAGUGCACGCAACGUAUGCGGAAUUCAUGGUGUAGCGGUGAAAUGCUUAGAUAUCAUGACGAACUCCGAUUGCGAAGGCAGCGUACGGGAGUGUUACUGACGCUUAAGCUCGAAGGUGCGGGUAUCGAACAGGAUUAGAUACCCCAGUAGUCCCUGUCUCUUAUAA